rnacentral:rRNA from 1 species
UACGUAGGGUGCAAGCGUUGUCCGGAAUUAUUGGGCGUAAAGAGCUCGUAGGCGGUCUGUUGCGUCGGCUGUGAAAACCCGGGGCUCAACCCCGGGCCUGCAGCCGAUACGGGCAGACUAGAGUUCGGCAGGGGAGACUGGAAUUCCUGGUGUAGCGGUGAAAUGCGCAGAGAUGUGGAGGAACACCGAUGGCGAAGGCAGCGCCCUGGGCUAACACUGACGCUCAUGCACGAAAGCGUGGGGAGCAAACAGG